rnacentral:tRNA from 1 species
GCGCCGGUGGUGUAACGCCGUGGAGCAUUCCCGCCCGGUAAAGGGAGGUGCGGGUUCGAGUCCCGCCUGGCGCU